rnacentral:rRNA from 1 species
GACGAACGCUGGCGGCGUGCUUAACACAUGCAAGUCGAACGGAAAGGCCCUGCUUUUGUGGGGUGCUCGAGUGGCGAACGGGUGAGUAACACGUGAGUAACCUGCCCUUGACUUUGGGAUAACUUCAGGAAACUGGGGCUAAUACCGGAUAGGAGCUCCUGCUGCAUGGUGGGGGUUGGAAAGUUUCGGCGGUUGGGGAUGGACUCGCGGCUUAUCAGCUUGUUGGUGGGGUAGUGGCUUACCAAGGCUUUGACGGGUAGCCGGCCUGAGAGGGUGACCGGCCACAGUGGGACUGAGAUACGGCCCAGACUCAUACGGGAGGCAGGAGUGGGGAAUAUUGCACAAUGGGCGGAAGCCUGAUGCAGCAACGCCGCGUGCGGGAAGACGGCCUUCGGGUUGUAAACCGCUUUCGCGUGUGACGAAGCGUGAGUGACGGUAAUGGGUAAAGAAGCACCGGCUAACUACGU